rnacentral:rRNA from 1 species
UACGUAGGGGGCGAGCGUUGUCCGGAAUCAUUGGGCGUAAAGCGCGUGUAGGCGGCUCGGUAAGUCUGGUGUGAAAUCCAGGGGCUCAACCCCUGGCGGUCACUGGAUACUGUCGGGCUAGAGUCCGGAAGAGGAGAGUGGAAUUCCUGGUGUAGCGGUGGAAUGCGCAGAUAUCAGGAGGAACACCAAUGGCGAAGGCAGCUCUCUGGUACGUGACUGACGCUGAGACGCGACGGCGUGGGGAGCAAACCGG